CUCACAAAAUCGCAGGGGAGAGAGAAGGACACAAAAACAUCAAUAGAAACCCUAACUAUCUUCCACCGCCCUCUUCUCCGUCUUCCCAUCGCUCCUGCAUCCACUCCGACGCCUACUUCACUCUCAUCAACAACUCCUCCACCUGAUCUCACUCGAUUGAUAGGCGAUGAUGACGACGGAGAUGGUGUACGCGGCGUCACCGCCUUUGCCUGGACGAGGUAGGUGGUUUGACGGUGGUGUUCUCCUUUCUCUUAUCUAUCUUCUAAAUUCCUCAUUGUCAAUUCUCUACUCCAGCUUCUAAGUUUCGUAGGUGAUUUUGGUUGGUCAUCACGUUGGCAGGGUAUGCAUAUCAUAUGCAAUGGAGAUAUUUUAAACUAAAGUCGCGAAAGCCAUCUUCAUUGUUGCUUCAAUGCUGAAAACUGUACAAAGCUCUUUCGACAUGUUCUCCCUCAAGGCAAGCUCAAAACUUUUUGUAUGCAAGUGGGAACCAUCAGCCUCCAUCUGCUAUAGAUCUCGACAAAUCACUUCUAAAGAAUCAGUUAUUCAAUUAGACUCCUACAAAGGUAUAAGUUUUCAGUUAGUUUGCGAAUUCUUGGUGGCUUAUGAUGUUUAUGAUCAGAAGGGGAAUUCUGAUCAUGGACAGAAGGGGCUGGGGGGUGAACAGCAGAACUAGAAUGGCACGACGGGACGAUGUGAUUAAAAAAACAGUAUGUGUGUUUGAUAUUGAUUAGCAGGUAAAUAAGGAUAUAUAUAAAAGAAAAUAUGUUUUUGUUUUGUUGCUUAUUGGUAAAAAAUUAGAUUAUAAUGUAUCUUUUUUACUAUUUUAUAAAUGUACGUAACCCAAGAACAGUUUGCGACUCUCUUUGUUAACUGUGGGUAGGAUGUUGAUUGGACGCAGUGCUUAUGGGAUCAUGUGGUAUGUGUAUAUUUUUGUGAUUGUGAUCAGUUUGAUGCUGAACUCAGAGACGAAUGAGAUGGUUUCAUUGAAGAAGAUUGCGUAUGCUUUCAAUAAUUGUGUGGAUGCAAAGCGGACGCUUCAUGAGAUUAAGCUUCUUCGACAUUCGCAUCAUGAGAAUGUGAGUUUUGCUACAUGUUUGUUUAAUAGAUUUAUGCAAGAUUGUAGAUCUUUUUUUUUAUCAAAUGUGAAUUAGUAAACCAUGUUGCAUUGUAGAUUUUUUUAUCAACUAUGAAUUAGUA